rnacentral:piRNA from 1 species
UAGAAAAAGAAAGGGUGCCAGAGCCAGGGC